rnacentral:rRNA from 1 species
UACGGAGGAUGCAAGCGUUAUCCGGAUUCAUUGGGUUUAAAGGGUUCGCAGGCGGCAUAUUAAGUCAGUGGUGAAAUGCCUCCGCUCAACGGAGGAACUGCCAUUGAUACUGGUAUGCUAGAGUAUAGUUGGCGUAGGCGGAAUAUUUCAUGUAGCGGUGAAAUGCUUAGAUAUGAAAUAGAACACCGAUCGCGAAGGCAGCUUACGAAGCUAUAACUGACGCUCAUGAACGAAAGCGUGGGGAUCAAACAGGAUUAGAUACCCUGGUAGUCCACGCUGUAAACGAUGAUUACUCGUUGUCGGCGAUAUACAGUCGGUGGCUAAGCGAAAGUGAUAAGUAAUCCACCUGGGGAGUACGAUCGCAAGGUUGAA